rnacentral:tRNA from 1 species
GCGCCCAUAGCUCAGUGGUAGAGCAUCCGGCUCUUAACCGGCAGGUCGUGGGUUCGAAUCCCCCUGGGCGCA